AGUUUCCUGAGAUGUGCGAUAGUCUAUGGUAAUUCAACCGACAUAUUUUAUACGGGAGUCUGUGUUCAUUAGCUAAUGAUAUGCCUGUUUAACUGGACAUCAGCGGUUGACGACAAGACACCCACCUGCAGAAGUGCGGGUGUGAAUUAGCUAGACAGCCGGCAUCAUGGGAAUAUA
rnacentral:other from 1 species